rnacentral:lncRNA from 1 species
GACACUUUGUGGGGCCUCUAGACUUCUUCAUGGGGGAUUUGUCUUUCAGAGAUCUGAGAAAAUCUUGGUCUGAGGGGCAGAAGGAAACUCAAAUGGUGGCCAGUGAUAGCCAUGCAACAACUAGACAUCCCUGGACACUCUUCUGGUGGUGCAGAUGGUAAAGAACCUGCCUGCGACGUGGGAGACCAGAGUUUCAGCCCUGGGUCAGGAAGAUCCCCUGUAGUAGAAAAUGGCAACUCACGCCAAUAUUCUUGCCUGGAGAAUUCCAUGGACAGUAUAAUCGAUGGGGUUGCAAAGAGUCGGACGUGACUGAGCGACUAACACUUGCACCUUCACUUCAUAGAGUGAGUUAGCAUAAAAGAGUUUUAACUCAAACAACAGAGUGAUCUGAUCUUUACAGUUAAGAUUACAGGACCAAUUAAGAUGGUCCCUGUAAUUGAGGUGGGGAUUGUUUCUGACUAUAGGAUAGUGCAUAUUCACUGCAGAGAAAGAGCAAUUCUGUUCAUCUUUAGAUAGCUAAAAAAAUUUAAGACUAUAUUAGUUAGAGGCAUUUUAUUUGAUGGGAUAAAAAAGCAAAACGUGAGACUUCCAUCAAGGCAUUAGCACAUUAACAAGGCUUUUCAAAUUUGAGCUGUAAUUUGGGCUACUUUGGAGGGUGGGACAAUAUUAUACCAAAAA